rnacentral:rRNA from 1 species
CGUGUAGGCGGGAUGACAAGUCAGAUGUGAAAUUCCGGGGCUUAACCCCGGCGCUGCAUCUGAAACUGUAAUUCUUGAGUGCUGGAGAGGAAAGCGGAAUUCCAAGUGUAGCGGUGAAAUGCGUAGAUAUUUGGAGGAACACCAGUGGCGAAGGCGGCUUUCUGGACAGUAACUGACGCUGAGGCGCGAAAGCGUGGGGAGCAAACAGGAUUAGAUACCCUGGUAGUCCACGCUGUAAACGAUGGAUACUAGGUGUAGGAGGUAUCGACCCCUUCUGUGCCGCAGUUAACACAAUAAGUAUCCCACCUGGGGAGUACGGCCGCAAGGUUGAA